CACUGCACACCUGUGAGAGGAGCUCCGCAGUCCUGCCCAGUUUGCCAAUUGUUUCUGCUGUCCUUCUAUAUGCAUCACCAGGCACUAGCUGCUCAUCGCACGCACUGUUCGCCUAACCGUCAGCCACCUUUUGAGCAUUGCAUAAGUAGAGUGUCCCCAUGUAAUUUUGCAAAUAUUAAGAAGAAGGUUGUAGUCUCUACAUAGCGACUUCUACGGCAAAAGCAAUUGGACCCGUGCGAUAACUAGCACUCUUCCACGGACCUUCGCCAACAUUCUCACAAGUUCGAAAGGUCAAGUGAAGCAAACAUGGAGGCCCAAGGAUCCUGGACCAUAAUGCAGUCAGGCGAACGCGUGUACUACCCAGAGGAGUACAGCGCACGUCAGGCACCAUCGCCAAGGAGUACGGCUAUGUCGGUAAGGCCCUCACAGUAUCAUCCACACCAACAAACGUAUCAGCCGUACCAACAAACGUAUCAGCCGUACCAGCAAGCGUAUCAGCCGCACCAACAACAAGCGUAUCAACCAUACACGUAUCAACAAACCCAUCAGCCAUGCCAGCCCUGCAUGCAGCAACGGCAUUACCAGCAGCCAGUCCAGUAUCACCAAGAUGCAUACCGGCAUCUGGAAAGUGAUGCGUUCCCAAGACUCAAUCCUAAUGUGGAGUACAGCCGUAGUGGGUUUCCAGACGUGCAAGUUCCUUUGCCCAGGCAUGCUGUCAGCACCUUGCGCGAGCGGGCAUCAGCUAGGGAGGCUAGACAAGCGCCCACAAGCAGCCAGCCCCAAUCACGUGACCAGCCUCAAUCACGUGCAUCCAUGCAGAACCAGCGACAGCGUUCUGCUUAGGUGACACGGUGUCUCCGAGGCUGACUAUCCCCCCCCCCCCCCCCCUCUCCCCCUCCCCCCCUCUACAACCUGCAUCCAAUGCGUGCAUAUUAUUACUAGGGCUCAAACGGCUAGUCCGAUUAACCGGUUGCAGACCGGUUACGAAGAAUUAACGGUUAACCGAUAAAGAUAACGGUUACGCAGUAACUUUUCAGUCAAUUUUUCAAGUAUCAGGUCGUUGCAAAGUGUGCACUUUCGCGGGCUGUCGCACGCGUACGCAAUUUCUUGGCUGUCAACUCGGU